CUUUAAUAUACAAGGUGAGCACUGUAGAAAUAAUUACCAGUUGCAAGUUGGAAAUGGACAAGUAGACUUUUUAGGACUGAAGAGUUUAAUGGUGAGUCUAAAAGGAGGAAAAUAGGAUAUGGUUUAUGAUAUAGCCUGGUAAUUGCACAAAGGAAUCUAUAAAAGUGAAUAAUAGUAGCUGCAUUAAAGAGAAGUAAGACAAAGGAAAGGAAGAAAGGAGAAAGGUAAGAAAAAUAAUUUCUCUUGAGGAGACAUGGAGUUAUUAGAGUCCAUUUAAAUAAUUUUAUUCAGAAGCAUGGCCUAUCCAAUACCUAAUCUUCACUUCUUGGUACAUUUAUCGUACAAAACGACAGUAUGCAGAAAGUCUAUCACAUAGUAAAUGUGCAAAUUCAAUACUAUCUCAUUCCUCCUUGUCUUGUCUCUCCCUCCUCAUUAUAUGAAUGUGAGGGUCGUAGUUCCCAGCUCUGACCUCUACUCAGAAACGGAUAGAGAAAUUGUAAAAACAACAACAACUAACAAACAGAUGGAUAGAAGCAUACAAGUGGAGUGCCUCAAGUUGUGGAGAAAAAUAAAUCCUCAAAGGGAUUUGCACUGUAUAAGAAACAGGAAGAUACAACAAGGAAUUUCGAUAAGCAGAAAACUGUUUUGAAACAUUCAACUAAUAGAAGCAGAAAGGGAAGAGUGCAGGCCAAACCCUGAACAA
rnacentral:lncRNA from 12 species